CUGAGGCAAAGAAGUGAAAUCCAAUAUGAGAUUGUUCAAUUUUUGAAGACAAAAAGAGAAAGACUAGUACAUGGAAGCUGUGUGGCAACGUGUCAGUAGUUUUCAGGUCUCCAGACAGGAGUAAAAUAUGUAUCUGACACGCCGCCUUCACAGCUUUCAUCAGCUUGUUUGUACUAUUUUAAUAUUGUGAUUAAUAUUCCUAAUUUACUCAUAUUUUAAAGAAUUGGGAAUCUGUAUGUGCAUUGAUUUUAGCAUACAGGGUGCCAUAAUGAAUCAGAAGGGAGGAGGAAAGAAGUAUAAAAAGAGGUUAGGGAAAUUUAAGUCCAACAGGAGUUAGAUUUGAGGGAAAUAGUUGGAAAAGUAGAAAUAAUUCAGAACAUUUUGAAAUUGAAAAGGAGUAGAAAGAAAAAGGGAGGAAAGGGUCCUGCAGAUGUUGGAAUGAAAAGAACGUUUAUGAGAUAGCAUUUCUUACAUGUUUGUAGGGAUGUUUAAUGGAGAAAGCAGUUUAAAAGUCAACUCAAACAUGAAGACCCAUUAGCAUUUGCAGAGUCUAGGAGAACUGAGAGAAGUAAAAGUCACAGAAAGAAAAGAAAAACAACCAAGUAGUGGGUAUCUUUUACUGAGGUUCACUGUAGGUAUUUAUAAUUUUUAAAUAUUUUUAUUAACCAGACUUAAAUUAGGUACUAUAUUUCCUCUACAAUAUCUUUUUCAAAUAAGCCAUCCUGUCGGCAGUGGAACUAACCAACUAAUACGCUUAGUGUCUGUGUCCUUAGUAAACUAUUAACCACUGGUAUAUUAUGGUAUUCUGAACUCUCCUCCAUCCUUUACAACAGUCCCAUGGGGGAUGCAAUGGCACAUGCCAGCUGUCUUUCUAAUGCUUGUUGGCACACUGACAAGUGGCUCAUGUAACAAGAGAGUUCUACCUACUUUUCAGUAGGGGCACUAAUUUGAGCCUUCCUUUUCUGUACAAGUGCCAGCUUUCACAGAAGUUGGAUGGAUUCAGUUAUAUUUCAGAAUUUUUACUAUUUCAAAUUGGCAAACGAGUUCAAAAGUUAUUAGAGGUAGACUCCAACAAAGUUAAAAAUAUAGCAGGUGAUUGCAUUCUGAAUUGAGGAUACAAACUCUUACGGGUUUUUUUUGAGGUAUCUGAUACUUAUCAGAAAGUCAGUGUCUUUGAAUGGAGGAAAGGAACAGGUGGAUGCGAGGAGUUCGGUUUAAAAUGAUCAGCCACUGUAGGUUGAUCAGCAGGAGGAAGGGCUUGUAAGCACAUGCUUCAGUUCUGCAAACCACUGUUUGCCACACAACCAAAAGAGGCAGUCAGCUUUGACAGCCAUAUUAGGUAAGGGCAGCAAGAUGCCACUUAGGUGGCCAUCCUUUUUCAGGGCAGGAAGUCCAUAAUAGUGUUAUGAUAGCCAUCAUAGCUGAGGGCAGAAGGGGCCCACUCUGUGUCCAUCUUGGAUAAGGGAAAUGGAAGGGAGGGCACUACCACGUUUGUCUCUUAAAGAAGUGGUGCCUAUUUAAGGAUGAUGAAAUACAGAAGUGGUAGUGUUCAUGUGCAUGCCUGCCAAACAGCUGGACUUUGGUUUGAGUGUGUCAAGGUGCAGGAGAGAUUCGUCAGUCCUAAUAACUUACUGAAAAUAGAAAGAUCUUUUACUUCAGGAAGCCUAUUGUGAAUUCCGAAUUCACUUAACUGCCUAGGGAAAAACAGAGCAUCAUUAUGGGUCACUCAACGACAAAUCUCUGAAUACUGUGCAGUGAUGAUCUAAAAGGUUACCGAAAUAUCAAUAUAUAUGAGCUCAAGAUUGUCAGUGGGGAGGGGUUGUGAACCAAUUGCUUAGUGGGAGAUUCUGACUCAAGAGAGUUUGCUAGAUUUGGAAUGGAAUGAUGCAUGCUGUAUAGAAAAAGUUUAGUUUGGAGUAUAAAAAGUAAGAUCCAAACUGAAAUGAAAACAGAAUAAACAGCUAAAUUGUAAAGAGAAAGUUGGAGAUGCACAGUCUUAUACUGAGUUUGCAUCCUUGAAACUCAUCAGCAAUUUAUUACUUUAACUUCUCACUGAUUUCCAGAAAUUCAGCAAAUUGUGUGUGCAACUACACUGUUUGAAGCAAUACUAAAUUUUGAAAAGUGCCUAUAAAGGAAUCUGCUUCUACAUAGGUGAGUCUGGAAAUACACAGCAAAGUUGGAAACUGAACUGGUAUCUACAUCCUAUUGUAUUAUCUUUUGCAAGAUGAACUUGCCUCAGAAAUUGCUGCUGAGACACCCACAACCAAGCUGAACUGUCAAAAUGUAAGGAUUUUUUUCAGAGCAAUAGGCUUAUUUUCCUUUGAACUACGAAUGUGUCAAUUUGCGUGUUCACACUACAAAAACAUUUUGGUUCACAGCAAUCGCUUCCUGUCCACUAGAGGGCUAGGGGGAGGACUAGCUGCAUGCCAUCUCAGAUGAACAAUAUUUUUGCAGUGUCUGCUGUUGCUUUUGAGUUGCAACUACUGAAAAAGUAAUGACUUUGAAGGACUACUUUUGCUACUUAAGAAAAAAGUUAAACAAAGAGUGACAAGAUGUGGUCAGUCAUUCUCUCUGCAAUUUGUUGAAAUAUUCUGGUUGCAAUUCUUGAUAAAAUUCACAAUACUCUGUGCAUGCGUAAUAGUUCAUAUCUUUGGACAGUCACAGGAAUAAAUGGUGUAGAUGCGGAGUAUCUCAGGGCAGCAACAAUCCAAUCUGAAUUUUCAGAUACCUGUUUGUUCUAGGAGCUGCUGAAUACAUACACAUUCUACAAACACGAUCUCCAGCAGUUUAUUUCUCUCUGCGUUGCUGUAUCAUGAGAAAUAAACGGAGCAAGAAUGCAUCCUCAGAAUGAUGAUCAUUACUGGAAAAUAACAACAGGGGGAAAAAAAGGUGAGACGGGCGGAAGACAUUUAUCCAUUUCUUUGAUGGAUGCUCAGUGGAUAUAAGAAUCACAGAAUGGCAAACAAAUGUCAUCCCUUCUUGACCAAGAAAGAUCAUCACAUUUUUCC